rnacentral:rRNA from 1 species
UACGAAGGGGGCGAGCGUUGUUCGGAAUUACUGGGCGUAAAGGGCGCGUAGGCGGCCGAUCAAGUCAGAUGUGAAAGUCCUGGGCUUAACCUGGGGACUGCAUUUGAUACUGAUUGGCUUGAAUGCAGGAGAGGAUAGCGGAAUUCCCAGUGUAGAGGUGAAAUUCGUAGAUAUUGGGAAGAACACCGGUGGCGAAGGCGGCUAUCUGGACUGUGAUUGACGCUGGAGGCGCGAAAGCGUGGGAGCAAACAGG